UACCUAUAAAAGAGGAUGAAUUUAUUUAUACUUAUUUGGUUAUUGGUUUUGUAAUUUUAAGUAUUAUAUCUUAAUAAUUUAAUAUGUAAAGUUUAUUGUUAUUUGUUGUUUCGUUAAAUACGUUUAUUUAUUUUAUUCAGUUUAAUGUAUUUAUAAUUUUAAUUUAUGUUAAUGUAAGUGAUUAAGUUUUAGUUAAAUCUAAUUUUAGUGCCAGCAGUUGCGGUUAUACUAUUUUAAUAAUAAUAUUUUAUUGGUUAGGUAUUAAUUUUAUUUUUUUAAAUAUAAUUUUAAAAUAUUUGGUGAAAUAUUUAUUUAAGCUGUUGAUUUAGGGUUUAAUAAAAUAUUAGAGUUGGGUUAUGGAGGACUAGGAUUAGAUACCCUAUUAAAAUUCAUUAAAUACAGAAUUGUAUUAUUAUAAGUUAUGAUCUUUAAAAUAGAAAGACUUGGCGGUGAUUAAUAAUUUAGAGGAACCUGUUUUUUAAUUGAUAAACCACGAUUUUUUUUACUUUAUUUAUGUUUAUAUACCUCUAUUAUUGAAUAUUUCUUUUAGAAUUUUAAUUUUCUUUUUUUAAUAAUUUAAUUUAAAUUAGGUCAAGGUUUAGCUUGAUAAAGUUUAAAUGGGUUACUAUAAUUUUAAUUAAGGAUGUUGUUUUUUAUUUAUGAUUGAAUUUGGAUUUAAUAGUAAUUUGAAUUAGAUAAUUUGGAUGAUUAUGGUUUGGUCAUGUACAUAUCGCCCGUCACUCUCAUUUUUAAUGGGAUAAGUCGUAACAAAGUAGAUUUACCGGAAGGUGAUUCUGGAAUUAU
rnacentral:ncRNA from 1 species